CAUUGGGUGGUUCAGUGGUAGAAUCCUCGCCUGCCACGCGGGGGGCCCGGGUUCGAUUCCCGGUCAAUGC
rnacentral:tRNA from 1 species